UGGGGAAUAUUGCACAAUGGGCGAAAGCCUGAUGCAGCAACGCCGCGUGAGUGACGAAGGUCUUCGGAUUGUAAAGCUCUGUCUUUUGGGACGAUAAUGACGGUACCAAAGGAGGAAGCCACGGCUAACUACGUGCCAGCAGCCGCGGUAAUACGUAGGUGACGAGCGUUGUCCGGAUUUACUGGGCGUAAAGGGUGCGUAGGCGGAUGUUUAAGUGAGAUGUGAAAUACCCGGGCUUAACUUGGGUGCUGCAUUUCAAACUGGAUAUCUAGAGUGCAGGAGAGGAGAAUGGAAUUCCUAGUGUAGCGGUGAAAUGCGUAGAGAUUAGGAAGAACACCAGUGGCGAAGGCGAUUCUCUGGACUGUAACUGACGCUGAGGCACGAAAGCGUGGGUAGCAAACAGGAUUAGAUACCCUGGUAGUCCACGCCGUAAAACGAUGAGUACUAGGUGUAGGAGGUAUCGACCCCUUCUGUGCCGCAGUAAACACAU
rnacentral:rRNA from 1 species